rnacentral:pre_miRNA from 1 species
AUAUUACUCCCUCCGUCCCAAAAUAAGUGUCUCAACUUUGUACUAAGGUUGAGACACUUAUUUUGGGACGGAGGGAGUACUAC